UACAGAGGUCUCAAGCGUUGUUCGGAUUCACUGGGCGUAAAGGGUGCGUAGGUGGUCGGGUAAGUCUGAUGUGAAAUCUCCGAGCUUAACUCGGAAAUGGCAUUGGAUACUAUUCGGCUGGAGGUUUGGAGGGGGGACUGGAAUUCUCGGUGUAGCAGUGAAAUGCGUAGAUAUCGAGAGGAACACCAGUGGCGAAGGCGAGUCCCUGGACAACACCUGACACUGAGGCACGAAAGCUAGGGGAGCAAACAGG
rnacentral:rRNA from 1 species